rnacentral:rRNA from 1 species
GAUAUGGCUCAGAUUGAACGCUGGCGGCAGGCCUAACACAUGCAAGUCGAACGGUAACAGGAAGCAGCUUGCUGCUUUGCUGACGAGUGGCGGACGGGUGAGUAAUGUCUGGGAAACUGCCUGAUGGGAGGGGGAUAACUACUGGAAACGGUAGCUAAUACCGCAUAACGUCGCAAGACCAAAGAGGGGGGACCUUCGGGCCUCUUUGCCAUCGGAUGUGCCCAGAUGGGAUUAGCUAGUAGGG